GACGAACGCUGGCGGCGUGCUUAACACAUGCAAGUCGAACGGAAAGGCCCUGCUUUUGUGGGGUGCUCGAGUGGCGAACGGGUGAGUAACACGUGAGUAACCUGCCCUUGACUUUGGGAUAACUUCAGGAAACUGGGGCUAAUACCGGAUAGGAGCUCCUGCUGCAUGGUGGGGGUUGGAAAGUUUCGGCGGUUGGGGAUGGACUCGCGGCUUAUCAGCUUGUUGGUGGGGUAGUGGCUUACCAAGGCUUUGACGGGUAGCCGGCCUGAGAGGGUGACCGGCCACAUUGGGACUGCGAUACGGGCCAGACUCCUACGGGAGGCAGCAGUGGGGAAUAUUGCACAAUGGGCGGAAGCCUGAUGCAGCAACGCCGCGUGCGGGAUGACGGCCUUCGGGUUGUAAACCGCUUUCGCCUGUGACGAAGCGUGAGUGACGGUAAUGGGUAAAGAAGCACCGGCUAACUACGUG
rnacentral:rRNA from 1 species